rnacentral:rRNA from 1 species
GAUGAACGCUGGCGGCGUGCCUAAUACAUGCAAGUAGAACGCUGAAGGAGGAGCUUGCUCUUCUGGAUGAGUUGCGAACGGGUGAGUAACGCGUAGGUAACCUGCCUGGUAGCGGGGGAUAACUAUUGGAAACGAUAGCUAAUACCGCAUGACAACAGUUAUUGCAUGAUAACUGUUUAAAAGGGGCAACUGCUCCACUACCAGAUGGACCUGCGUUGUAUUAGCUAGUUGGUGAGGUAACGGCUCACCAAGGCGACGAUACAUAGCCGACCUGAGAGGGUGAUCGGCCACACUGGGACUGAGACACGGCCCAGACUCCUACGGGAGGCAGCAGUAGGGAAUCUUCGGCAAUGGACGGAAGUCUGACCGAGCAACGCCGCGUGAGUGAAGAAGGUUUUCGGAUCGUAAAGCUCUGUUGUAAGAGAAGAACGAGUGUGAGAGUGGAAAGUUCACACUGUGACGGUAUCUUACAGAAAGGGACGGCUAACUACGUG